GACGCUUUCCUUUUUCUCCAAACCCUAAAGGAGAGCGUGCAUCCUUCUUCUGUCGGCGAUUAACAUCUCUCUUCGCUGUGACCUAAAUUCAUCUUCUUGAUUAUCUCAACAAGAUCCAAGAAUUGAAGAGUGGAUCAAUCUUUAUUUGUAAUUGAAACCCUAACUUUCAAAAAGCGAUUCUGAUUCCAUCGAUCUUGCCUAAAUCCCAUUCACGAUUUCUGAUUCAAGGUUUCUUUUCUAAACAAUUUUGAAAAUCGAAGGCAAUAUCUAAUCUCUCUAAUCGGAUCUUCUUCCGCUAUUGAAGGGCUUGAAGGACUAUUCAUUUGAUGGUGUCUAAACGUGGAAUGCUUUUUGGUCGGACAACUGAGAUGUCGAUAGAAGCAAAGGAAAGAGUCUUUUAGCCUUCAGACAGUUAACAAGAAACUAUCUACUAUGAACAAGUUAUUAUUAGAGAAAAACGAUCGCCUGCAAAAAUAAGUGGCUCAGCUUGUGUGUGAAUGGAUAUAUGCGCCAACAGUUGAAGGUCUGCAUGCAUUGAUUGACCAAACCGAGACUGGGUGAACAGGUUUGGUAAUGCUGGCGACACUGCUCUAGAGAUAGUUGGAACAACUGCUUUCCGGUAACGUAGAGGCGGUUAAUAUGAUAAAUGAGAAUAAAGGGCGUAAGCAUGCUAGCCCUUUGGCAAUUUGUGUUGGUGAUGUGAAGGACUGGCAUAUUGUUGUUACGGACCAUUUGCAUGUUGGCUUGGUUGAGGGUCUUCUUCCUAGGUCGGUGACUGUGGUGCUAUAACACGAGGUACACAAACCCUGGCCGCUAGAGUAAAUGAUGAAGACUGCACUUCUUUAGAUUCAAAGAAAUCGGACGAUGAAAGAUGGUCUAAUUGAGGGACGAUUUGGGACCACAAAAGAUGGCCAAAUUAGGUCGUGGAAGGAAGGGAAACAGCAUAAUUCUCAUCAAAAGGUAUCGUUGACCCUUUAGCCUUGCUGGAGAAGAUAACAAAGAAUGGAAUAUCACAAGAUGUUUGUGUAAAUGAUUUGGAACCGUCUGCAUUUGAGCGUUUCCUCUGAAAAGAUUAGAACAACGCAUAAUUGUUGCAUGCCGUGAAAAAUAUGAUGUUUUUAUGUCUUGAAGGAACCAAGAAUUCAUAAUAAUUUGUCAAUAGUUACAAGUGUGCUAUUUGCAACGCCAAGUGAAAUAAUCAAUCUAGAACAAACCCAUGCAGGUAGCCGAGAAGAUACUGAAUGGAAAGGAGUUGGAGUUCUAGGAAUGGGAUGGAGUUCUACAAAAUAGUUCUACUUUUUAGUAUCUGUUUGUUCUUGACUUCUUGCCUUAUAUUACGGCAGUUUGCUUUACUCACUUAUUCUCGAACAAAGUUGCAAAUUCUAUGCUUCCUUGCCACCUCUGCCUGGUUUAAAGCGAUUCCCUUUGAAGACAACAAGCUCCAUGAUGAAGAUUUAAACAUGGAGAUGGCAUGUUGUGGCAGUUUAAAAGUUAUCUUUCUCUAUUAAAUGAUGAAGAGAGUGGUAAAACUUUAAAUCAUAUAAAAGUUUCAUCAUUUCGGUAUGUUUUUAAUUCACUUAGCUAUAAAAUGGGUUGAAAUAGCCAUCUAGAGAGUACUCCGGCACUGUUUUGCUACUAUUUUAGCAGCUGGCGCAGAAUGAUUUUUGGUCGAGAAAGGAGCUGCAAAACAACUAUGUAAAGACUUAUAAAUAAUAUACAUAAGGGGAAGCUGGU
rnacentral:lncRNA from 1 species